AAUCUGUUGUGAUUCAUCCAAGGAAAGGCUCUGCUGCUUUUCUUCUGCUGCUUUGAGCAUCGUUACCGUGUGUGUCCAGUCUGAGCAGAAGCAGCAGGAAAGGAAAAGAAGAGGGGCAGAGGAAGAGGAAAAACCCAACCUCGUUCAGCAUGUUCUGCAAAUGCAGCUUCUUCUUCCGCAUGAGCAAACAGACCACGAUGGACUCCUGGGUGAUGGGUAGAGAAGUUCAGAAAGCUUCCAGGGAGCACCUAAUCCACGAGUCGGGACUGCUGAUGUUUGCUUCAGCCUGGUAUCCCAUGGUAGAGGCAUAAGGAUUAAGCAGGCUUUGGAAGGGGAGCUUGUCUUCAUAUCGGGAUGGGCAUUUCUUUGGACACAAGGUCUUUGGGGUGAGAAGCCAUCAGCAGUCAGUCCUUGUUCCCAGAGAAAAGGAUAGAGAACCCAUUGGGAUGACCAGUGAUGUCAUCCCAGUUGACUUAAAUUGCAUGGACUUAAAUUGAAAUGAGUGGCAUUGGGGUUAGUCAGCAGAAGAAUGUUUCUUAGGGCGUGAUCAAGAAAAUGAAGCUCCAAUACCAGC
rnacentral:lncRNA from 1 species